CCUUGCAAGCUGCCUACCUAGAAAGCAUUUUGAGGCAGAGUAUGUAUUACGCACACCACAAAACCUAGUGACCUGCUCACAGACAGCACUGGUGAGCAUCACAGGUGCAACAUGAAUUUAAAACAUACAGAGACUGCCACCUAAACACAAUUUUAAGUUUCCCAGGUGUAGGCUAAACCCAGCUCAUAUGUUUUCCACUGAUUUCUUGAAUCCCAGAGCACCAUCUGUUGUGCGCUCCGCUCCUAUCGGACACGAGUGACUCAUUAGGGUUUGGGCUGGGCAGAGUAAAUAUCCCAAACACGGCGAGGGGUCUGAAAACACAUGGCCUAUGGAUUCAUUUGUUGACUCUGUUCUCCUCCGAGGUGUUGCGAAGGUCAGGACGCAUUACGAACAACUGAACACACACACACACACACACAGAAAACAGGAACAGAAAGGACUGCAGAAGGUUAAUUUCUCUUUCGUUUUCACUUUCCACUUGUGAAUGAAGGACACUGGAAUGGGUUCUCUAUCACGUGCCGGCAGCCAUUGGCUAGCAUUUCAUGAAUCACCAAGUACCACGCUUUCAACUAAAAAGCUUCUUUACUGUUCUACUGAAGAAAAAAAAAAAAAGUCACCAACAUCUUGGAUGGCCUGAGGAUCAGAUUUCAUCACUUACAAAACAACAGUGCAGACGGUCAGUCCCGAAGAUCACAGAGGAAAAUAAUUAACAAAACCAAAGCCAACUCCACACACGAAUGAUGUGGACGUGCUGACAGACAGGAGGGGUUCACACACACACUCCUCUGUGUUUACAUAUUAUCCAAAGCAGACUUUCAAUCAAAUCUGAACUGUUCUCUACCAAGGGCCUUCAGAACAAAUGAAUUAUGCACGUGUGUGUGUGUGUGUGUGUGUGUGUGUGUGUGUCUUGUUUCCUUCACUGAACAGCAACAGGUUAGGCUAUGUGAAAUGAUUCACUGUGCUUUUCCAGUGCCUAUUCCACCAAUGCACAUAACUUAUUUCACAAAAUGUCAUUGUCUCUAGAUGUUCAGCUCACACACUCUCCUCAACGAUUUUCCAGCACACACACACACACGUAUAAUAAUCGCCAUAAUGAUGGCUCUGAAUAUAGACUUUCCCUUUCUCAGCUCACCACACCCUCCUCAGACAUUCACACACACACACACACACACACGCGGGUGUGACAGUCAGCACGAGGGAAUGCAGGAGCGGUCUUCACUUCUCUCCAUUUCUUCUGGCCUUUCUUUCAUGCCUCUUUAUUGUUUGAACUCCAUUUAGCGGUGUUGUUUACUAAGUCAAUCAUCACUUACUUCUUAAUAAAUUAAUUUGUUUUCUGCUCCAGAUAUCCACUUUUCAAAAUAAUGCAUCAAAAUAACUAAAUUUCAACUACUAUUUUCAAUGUCAACUGGUCUCUCACAUCCCUACUUUUGUUGACAUCAGUGAUGUAAAUUUUAACCAUUUGAUGGAAAAUAAGAACAAUUCAGAUAAUAAAGUAUCUGGAGUUAUUUGACUGUUUGAUUCAUAGUUUAAAGGGUUAGUUGAAAAUUGUGUCAUUAAUUACUCACCCUCACGCCGUUCCAAACCCGUAAGACCUUUA